GGACAGCUCUAGUUGUGGAGUCUUAAUUUUGAUGUUUGCAGAGCUCAUUCUCCAAGGUAGAAGUAUCUGCGUUGCUCAAACAGACACAGAGGAGGUCUCAGCCGCAAGAGUCAAAAUUGCAGCCACUCUUCUGGAAUGCAAAGAUGGUGUGGAAGAUCUCUGUGUUUCCUGCAACAUGUUGCAGUUUGAUGCUGAGGAGGAUUUCACAGAGAUGGUAAUAAGACAAUAGGUUAUAUAUUGACAAACUGGCAACUUUCACUAUCCAUCCACUCAGCUUUUUAAGGCUGAGCAAUUUUAUUGAUUCUGCGAUAUAAAUCGAUAUUUUUCCCCCCAAGAAAGUAUAGAUUUUUAUGCCACGAGUAUCGAUACAUAAGUUCCAUUCAAAUC